UACGUAGGUGGCAAGCGUUGUCCGGAUUUAUUGGGUUUAAAGGGUGCGUAGGCGGUCCUAUAAGUCAGUGGUGAAAUACUCUAGCUUAACUAGAGGGGUGCCAAUGAUACUGUAGGACUUUGAGUACAGAUGAGGUAGGCGGAAUUGACGGUGUAGCGGUGAAAUGCAUAGAUAUCGUCAAGAACACCUAUAGCGAAGGCAGCUUACUGGGCUGUAACUGACGCUGAGGCACGAAAAGUGUGGGGAUCAAACAGG
rnacentral:rRNA from 1 species